AGAAUGAACGCUGGCGGCGUGCUUUACACAUGCAAGUCGAGCGAGGCGGGUAGCAAUACCCAGUCGAGCGGCGAACGGGUGAGUAACACGUGGAUCAUCUACCUUCAGGUGGGGGAUAACCCGGGGAAACUCGGGCUAAUACCGCAUAACAUCGUGAGAUCAAAGGGGCGCAAGUCCCGCCAGAAGAGGAGUCCGCGUUCGAUUAGCUAGUUGGUAGGGUAAUGGCCUACCAAGGCGACGAUCGAUAGCCGGCCUGAGAGGGUGAUCGGCCACACUGGAACUGAGACACGGUCCAGACUCCUACGGGAGGCAGCAGUGGGAAUUUGCGCAAUGGGCGAAAGCCUGACGCAGCAACGCCGCGUGGAGGAUGAAGGUCUUUGGAUUGUAAACUCCUGUCAGCAGGAAAAGGGUCUGGCCACACCAGAUCAUUGAUUGUACCUGCAGAGGAAGCCCGGCUAACUCUGUGCCAGCAGCCGCGGUAAUCGUGA
rnacentral:rRNA from 1 species